AUUGAACGCUGGCGGAAUGCUUUACACAUGCAAGUCGAGCGGCAGCGCGGGGGCAACCCUGGCGGCGAGCGGCGAACGGGUGAGUAACAUAUCGGAACGUACCCAGUCGUGGGGGAUAACUAUCCGAAAGGAUAGCUAAUACCGCAUACGUCCUGAGGGAGAAAGCGGGGGAUCGCAAGACCUCGCGCGAUUGGAGCGGCCGAUAUCGGAUUAGCUAGUUGGUGGGGUAAAGGCUCACCAAGGCGACGAUCCGUAGCGGGUCUGAGAGGACGACCCGCCACACUGGAACUGAGACACGGUCCAGACUCCUACGGGAGGCAGCAGUGGGGAAUUUUGGACAAUGGGGGCAACCCUGAUCCAGCCAUUCCGCGUGAGUGAAGAAGGCC
rnacentral:rRNA from 1 species